GACGAACGCUGGCGGCGUGCCUAACACAUGCAAGUUGAGCGACGAACCAGGGCUUGCCCUGGGGCAAAGCAGCGAACGGGUGAGUAACACGUGGGUAACCUGCCCCGAUGACCGGGACAACCCGAGGAAACUCGGGCUAAUACCGGAUGUGUCCCCUGGACCCAAGUCCAGUGGGCAAAGGAAGCUUCGGCCUCCACAUUGGGAGGGGCCCGCGGCCCAUUAGCUUGUUGGUGAGGUAAGAGCUCACCAAGGCAACGAUGGGUAGCUGGUCUGAGAGGACGAUCAGCCACACUGGGACUGAGACACGGCCCAGACUCCUACGGGAGGCAGCAGUGGGGAAUCUUGCGCAAUGCGCGAAAGCGUGACGCAGCAACGCCGCGUGGGGGAAGAAGGCCUUCGGGUUGUAAACCCCUUUCAGGAGGGACGAGGGUGCGGCCGUGAACAGCGGUCCGCACUGACGGUACCUCCAGAAGAAGCCCCGGCUAACUACGUGCCAGCCGCCGCAGUAA
rnacentral:rRNA from 1 species